CCUACGGGGGGCUGCAGUAGGGAAUAUUGCUCAAUGGGGGAAACCCUGAAGCAGCAACGCCGCGUGGAGGAUGAAGGUUUUAGGAUUGUAAACUCCUUUUGUCGGGGAGCAAAAAGCGGUACGUGUACCGCAUCGAGAGUACCCGGAGAAAAAGCAUCGGCUAACUCCGUGCCAGCAGCCGCGGUAAUACGGAGGAUGCGAGCGUUAUCCGGAUUUAGUGGGUUUAAAGGGUGCGCAGGCGGCGAGUUAAGUCAGCGGUAAAAUUUCGGGGCUCAACCCCGACGAGCCGUUGAAACUGGCUUGCUAGAGUGGGCGAGAAGUAUGCGGAAUGCGUGGUGUAGCGGUGAAAUGCAUAGAUAUCACGCAGAACUCCGAUUGCGAAGGCAGCAUACCGGCGCCCAACUGACGCUCAGGCACGAAAGCGUGGGUAUCGAACAGGAUUAGAUACCCUGGUAGUC
rnacentral:rRNA from 1 species